CAGCAGCCACGGUAAUACAGAGGGUGCGAGCGUUAAUCGGAUUUACUGGGCGUAAAGCGUGCGUAGGCGGCUUCUUAAGUCGGAUGUGAAAUCCCUGAGCUUAACUUAGGAAUUGCAUUCGAUACUGGGAAGCUAGAGUAUGGGAGAGGAUGGUAGAAUUCCAGGUGUAGCGGUGAAAUGCGUAGAGAUCUGGAGGAAUACCGAUGGCGAAGGCAGCCAUCUGGCCUAAUACUGACGCUGAGGUACGAAAGCAUGGGGAGCAAACAGGAUUAGAUACCCGGGUAGUCCCUGUCUCUUAUAC
rnacentral:rRNA from 1 species